UGAUGUAGUCGGCGCGGGCGCCGGCGUCGAGCGGACUGAUGCUCUGGUCGUGGUCGAUGCGGUUCGCGAGAUCGAGGCCCGCCUUCGUCAUC
rnacentral:tRNA from 1 species